rnacentral:lncRNA from 1 species
AAAUAAUAUCCCAUAAGGAUAUACAAGGUUUUAAAGUUUUUUUUAUCAUAUUUUGGGUAUUUUUGGAAACUCAAGACUUUCUUAUCUUUUUGUUUUUAGUGAUAGCAAUUCUAGUUUAAUAUCAUAUCAUCUUUGAUUAACUCUAGUUCCUUUCAGUGAUACAAGAGUAAAUUGAGGAUUUUUUUUCUUUGAGAUUCAUAUCCUUAACAAUUACAUCAUUUAUAAUCUAAUAUUAUACUUUUAUGUGGUAAACUUUCCAAAAAAUUAUCUUAUAGUAGUAAAAAAUAUUUUAUAA